UCUUUCCCAUUGAUUAUGUGCUUGACAUUAUUGCAUAUCUUGAGCACAGCUUGGUUGAAGUCCUCCGAUUGGUCCGCGAAUACGUAGUGACCUGCACCCUGAAUGACCUUGAAGGAAUAAGAAAGUAAAAUGUGACUGUGUCCUCCAGGGCUUGUACAAACUGCUCCUCUGCAUCCUUGGCAUCCCUGGCGAAAGUUGGUCGACUGCUGCGUCCAAAACCCAGCAUGUCCAAUGCAAACACGGGCCGUCCUUCCAGUGCAAGGGCAGGUAGAUUUUUUACCCAGAGACCCACUCCACACCCAAAACCAUGUAGCAGCACCAGCGGGACCUGAUGGCAUUGAACCCCAAAGGCUGAGAGGUCAGGAUUUUGUUUUCUGCUUGUAUAAGAUUGGAGAGCGAGGUGGGACACCAGGACGGCAGCCAACUGGAGAUCCACCAUGACCUGUGAUACACAGCGAACAGAUACAAAAUGCACACAUUAAGAUUUAAUAAUGCCUAGAAUUUUUCUGUUAUUGUUUCCAUCUGUUUUCUCAUCAUUCUUCUGGCUCUUGUGUAAGAACAUUUUUUUGUCUAAUAUUUAGAACAUGCCUCUUGGGUAUUUCACAGUACGAUUGCAUGAUCCUUACUUAUAUUUAUUUAACAUUUUCUAUAUUUUCUAUUGUCAUUAAAGAGUUGUAUAUACAUAUAUGUAUGUAUUUAACAUUAUACCAACCACAAGCAAGUAAUACAGAAUAGAAUUUUCCAGUGUGUAAAGGAAAAAAAGUUCUACUCUCAUGAACUAACAUUUCUCUCUUUAUUUCAUGAACACACACAUAUAGAGAUGUACGUGCACAGCUUACCUCCUUUGUGGAAGUACAAAUUCCUCUUGAUCUGUUCUCAUUGUUCCUCAUGUAUUGUCAUCACUGACAUAUUAUUUUUGAGAGAAUGAGGACUGAAACACAGGCAAUGCAA